GACGAACGCUGGCGGCGUGCCUAAUACAUGCAAGUAGAACGCACAGUUUAUACCGUAGCUUGCUACACCAUAGACUGUGAGCUGCGAACGGGUGAGUAACGCGUAGGUAACCUGCCUGGUAGCGGGGGAUAACUAUUGGAAACGAUAGCUAAUACCGCAUAAUAUUGAUUAUUGCAUGAUAAUUGAUUGAAAGAUGCUAUUGCAUCACUACCAGAUGGACCUGCGUUGUAUUAGCUAGUAGGUGAGGUAACGGCUCACCUAGGCGACGAUACAUAGCCGACCUGAGAGGGUGAUCGGCCACACUGGGACUGAGACACGGCCCAGACUCCUACGGGAGGCAGCAGUAGGGAAUCUUCGGCAAUGGACGAAAGUCUGACCGAGCAACGCCGCGUGAGUGAAGAAGGUUUUCGGAUCGUAAAGCUCUGUUGUAAGAGAAGAACGGGUGUGAGAGUGGAAAGUUCACACUGUGACGGUAUCUUACCAGAAAGGGACGGCUAACUACGUG
rnacentral:rRNA from 1 species